UUCUCUUCCAUCUUUAUAGCUUUUGAACAAGUUUGAAUUUUCCUGAUUGCAAACUGGUGACACAGAACUCUCCUUGAAAUUAUUGUAAGAAAGAUCUAUGUAACUGCACA